UUUUCUCUAUUAUUUUUGUUUUACUUUACUAGUUGCUUAACUUAAUCUGAUAUUUCGAUCGAAGCCGACUCGUAGUUGGUGAAAUCUGAUCAUAUGCUCCAGGUCGUGCUUCAGAUAUGUUCUCUAAUCUUAGCUUGUUUGUUGGUUGCAUUAAUUAUUUACUAUUCUUUUACCUUUACUUGUUAUUCUCAAACUUUCGUUACUAGUUGGAAGUUAAAUCACAACGCGUACUCUUAUCAUAUUUAUAAACUCAACUAUUCCAAAUCAUUGAUAAAUAAUACCAAGGAAAGAAUGAGAAGAAAGUAAUAAAACUCUUCUUAUUUUUUAAAAUAAAUAAGUAGAAAAAUAAUUAUCGAUUUUUAUUUACAUUUUUUUAGUUUAAAAUCAUAGAAUUUACUUUAAAAACUUUUAUUUACCACCUUAUAGUCAAAUACCAAACUAAAAUGAGAAGAACAAAUUGAAAUGAAGGGAUUAAAUAGUUUUACUAAAAAAAAAAAAAAAAAAAAAGUUGAAAUUAGUCUUUCUAAAUCAGGGGCCAAUAGGCGACAAACAACUUUCUGGGGAGUAUAAAUGAAAAACAGAAAAGUAGCGUGUCGCAAACCAACAAAAACAAAAAGUAGUCUACUACUCCGUAUGGGACUUCGUACUUUCGUAACCGUUACCACAUGCCACGUGGCCACUAAGCCGUAACUUCCCUUAAACCGGUUUUUUUCCCUGACCCGUUUAUUAAAAACCGUUACACUCAUGUGGAAAGUAGGAACUUUAUCACGUGUGGCAGACCUGGUAAAAGGAGACACACGUGCGCCUUGCAUCCUCUGUAGCAGCAGCAGUGGAGAAAUGGAAUCUUCAUUGUUAUAUUAUAGUUGCACUAGUACUAAAUUAACAUAUCUAACCUCACAUUCUUAUCUAAAUAUGGUGAUAAAGUCGAGGUUAACAGAGUAAUUUUGGGAAAAAUUUGCAAAUCUUUAUUCCAACAGUUUUGUCGUUUAGUAAAUAGAGAUAGAUAUGGAUUGAGUUCACGCAGAUCGUGUGAUACAGAAGGGUCUAGGAGCUUUCUUACUACAAUUAAUGGUAUCUUAAGUAAGGGCAAAACUAUAUAUUUCUCUGGGGAAAAUUAUUUAAAUUAGUCAUUAUUAAAAUUUUAUUAUCACUUAAAAUUUAAUUUUGUCAUAAUUACAUUUUGUAGCUGGAAGUGUGAAUAAAUUUUAAGAUAAUUACAGAUCCUGACACACGCUUAUUUUUAAAUCAAUAAGUCAACGGUACUUUUUUUACUUUACUCGAACUCUCCUUUUACCCCCAAAUCACUCUUUCUUUACCCCUAAAUUUUCAAACUUAGAAGCGGUUUCUUCUUCAAUCCACAUCAUUCUUACGGUAACAAUCAAUUAAUCCUCAUAAUCUAUCAACAGACAUUCAUAUUUUAGGUUAGUUUUACCCUACUUGUGUGUAUUUGAUUAAUUUAUAAUUUGAAUAGCUAAUUUUUUUUUUUUGUUGCGCAGAUCCUUCAUUUUGAUUUAGCAAUGGUGGAUAAUACUCCAACGAAGAUGGUUACUAGAAGUAUAUCGCGUAGUGACCCUGAUGCACGUACGGUUCCAACAUUUGACUUAGAAAUUUCUCAAUCCGAAGAAGAAGAUGCAUUGCCUUCGGAAGAAGUUAGAGGUAUUGGGCAUAAAAGAAAAGUUAGAGAUGAUGUUUCGACUCCGAACAAUGAUGAUGA
rnacentral:lncRNA from 1 species